CCUACGGGCGGCAGCAGUGGGGGAUAUUGCACAAUGGGGGGAACCCUGAUGCAGCGACGCCGCGUGGGUGAAGAAGCGCCUCGGCGCGUAAAGCCCUGUCAGCAGGGAAGAAAAUGACGGUACCUGAAGAAGAAGCCCCGGCUAACUACGUGCCAGCAGCCGCGGGAAUACGUAGGGGGCAAGCGUUAUCCGGAUUUAAUGGGUGUAAAGGGGGCGCAGACGGCGAUGCAAGCCAGGAGUGAAAGCCCGGGGCCCAACCCCGGGACUGCUCUUGGAACUGCGUGGCUGGAGUGCAGGAGGGGCAGGCGGAAUUCCUGGUGUAGCGGUGAAAUGCGUAGAUAUCAGGAGGAACACCGGUGGCGAAGGCGGCCUGCUGGACUGCAACUGACGUUGAGGCCCGAAAGCGUGGGGAGCAAACAGGAUUAGAUACCCGGGUAGUC
rnacentral:rRNA from 1 species